rnacentral:rRNA from 1 species
AUUGAACGCUGGCGGCAUGCCUUACACAUGCAAGUCGAACGGCAGCACGGGAGCAAUCCUGGUGGCGAGUGGCGAACGGGUGAGUAAUAUAUCGGAACGUGCCCAGUCGUGGGGAUAACGUAGCGAAAGCUACGCUAAUACCGCAUACGAUCUAUGGAUGAAAGCGGGGGAUCGCAAGACCUCGCGCGAUUGGAGCGGCCGAUAUCAGAUUAGGUAGUUGGUGAGGUAAAGGCUCACCCAAGCCGACGAUCUGUAGCUGGUCUGAGAGGACGACCAGCCACACUGGGACUGAGACACGGCCCAGACUCCUACGGGAGGCAGCAGUGGGGAAUUUUUGGGACAAUGGGCGGCAAAGCCCUGAUCCAGCAAUGCCGCGUGCAGGAUGAAAGGGCCCUUCGGG